GGAAAAGUGAAAAAUUGAGUUCGGUUAAUUAGAUAUGAUGCAAACCAGUUUAGAGCCGUACCAGAAAUGAAGAACUGUGAGGAUAAUCUGUGAAGUAGGAUAUUGUGAUCAACAGUGUCGAAAGCCGCUGAAAGAUCCAAGAGUAUAAGGGCAACGACCCGUUUCCUAUCUAGAGCAACAGUAAUGUCAUUGUGUAUUUUAGCAAGGGCAGUUUCAAUACUAUGACCAGUCUUAUAUGCCGAUUGAAAGGGGUCAAACAAAUUAAAUUGAGUAAGAUAUGAA